ACUUGCGCAUACCCCUUUGUUUUAUUUACUAUGUAAACAUGUAUCAUAUAACUCUUGUACUCAUUGGUUAUUAACAGAAUUUGUGUUUGUCUCACAUAUUAACAUGUAGGCUUUAAAUAGUCAAAUGAACUCGAAUAUAAACAAUACAAAGAAAUUCGGCAGUUCAUUAAAUUAAUAUUAUUUAUCCGAAUCGAUUCGAAAAAGAUAUUACCAGUUACCGUUUGGUUUUGUUGUUGAUUUUUUUCUUGCAGUGACCCCUAGGUUUUUUAGAUUACAGCUUAAUAGAAAAUAAAGAACCAAAAUAAGCCUUCAAUAUUCAUAUUAAAUCUUCAAACGAUUCAAGCUACAAUUGAAUUUUCACAUCAAAAUUUGUAAACGAACCAGUUGGUUUAACAGCUUAUUGAUGUACAAAAUAUACCGAAAAUCGAUCAAAUUGUGAAAUUGUGACGUCUCCGCUUUUCUAAUUUUCAAAAAAGAAACAGAAGAAGAAAGUUUGGAAAAAAUGUAAUUUUUAAUAUAUCCGUUUAAUCAUUGUAGCCAGGCAUCUGCAUUUUUGUACUAAUAGUUUAUUUAUCUAUGUAUGCAUAUACCAAACAAUGGCUCUCCGACUCUUACUGGCGGAGCAUCUGAAAAAAAGUAAGAUUUCAAAUUAACCAAUUUUUCAUAGGACAUGAAAAUAUGCCUUGAUAUCAAUACAUAUGUAUGGACAUUCAAAUAAGAAUGGAAGGGUGUUUUCUUUAAUGACAAAUACAUUUAAGUGCCGUUGUUGGUUUCUUGUAUACGAGUAAAAUAACCUUAAAAAUGGGUCCAACGUAUGAAUGAUAGUAAAGCAAAGCUGCUAUUAGCUCUGUUCGGUAAGAAAUUCAGUUCAGACUCAGCUAGCAAGUUAUACAACAGCUGUUUACUUUAGCGGUUACAUUUGAAUCCGUUAAUUUAUACAGUUUAUUUCCUUUUACUUAUUUAUAAUGCUUUUAAUUUAUAAUUUUAUAAAAAAUUUAAUAU